rnacentral:rRNA from 1 species
UACGUAGGAUGCAAGCGUUGUGCGGAUUUAUUGGGUUUAAAGGGUGCGUAGGCGGCCUAUUAAGUUAGUGGUGAAAACGUUCGGCUUAACCGGAUACCCGCCAUUGAUACUGAUAGACUUGAGUGCGACAGAGGGUGUUGGAAUGUGUGGUGUAGCGGUGAAAUGCUUAGAUAUCACGCAGAACACCAAUUGCGAAGGCAGAUGCCUAUGUCGUAACUGACGCUGAAGCACGAAAGCGUCGGGAGCAAACAGC